rnacentral:ncRNA from 2 species
CGAACCGAGGCGGGAGAGACCCGCGUGCGGGCGCCGAAGGAGCAACCCUCCCCGGGAAUCUCUCAGGCACCAGUACCGCCACGGCGAG